rnacentral:rRNA from 1 species
CUACGGGAUGCUCCAGUGAGGAAUUUUGCGCAAUGGGGGAACCCUGACGCAGCAACGCCGUGUGAGUGAAGAAGGCCUUUGGGUCGUAAAGCUCUGUCAACUGGGAAGAAGUUACUAUGCUUAAAUAGAGUGUAGUAUUGACGGUACCAGUGGAGGAAGCGUCGGCUAACUCCGUGCCAGCAGCCGCGGUAACACGGGGGACGCAAGCGUUAUUCGGAAUUAUUGGGCGUAAAGGGCGCGUAGGCGGUCUUGUCGGUCAGGUGUGAAAGCCCGGGGCUCAACCCCGGACGUGCACUUGAAACAGCAAGACUUGAGUACGGGAGAGGAAAGCGGAAUUCCUGGUGUAGAGGUGAGAUUCGUAGAUAUCAGGAGGAACACCGAUGGCGAAGGCAGCUUUCUGGACCGAAACUGACGCUGAGGCGCGAAGGCGUGGGUAGCGAACGGGAUUAGAUACCCUCGUAGUC